rnacentral:rRNA from 1 species
AACGAACGCUGGCGGCAUGCCUAACACAUGCAAGUCGAACGAGACCUUCGGGUCUAGUGGCGCACGGGUGCGUAACGCGUGGGAAUCUGCCCUUCGGUUCGGAAUAACUCAGGGAAACUUGAGCUAAUACCGGAUAAUGACGUAAGUCCAAAGAUUUAUCGCCGAAGGAUGAGCCCGCGUAGGAUUAGCUUGUUGGUGGGGUAAAUGGCCCACCAAGGCGACGAUCCUUAGCUGGUCUGAGAGGAUGAUCAGCCACACUGGGACUGAGACACGGCCCAGACUCCUACGGGAGGCAGCAGUGGGGAAUAUUGGACAAUGGGCGAAAGCCUGAUCCAGCAAUGCCGCGUGAGUGAUGAAGGCCUUAGGGUUGUAAAGUUCUUUUACCCGGGAUGAUAAUGACAGUACCGGGAGAAUAAGACUCCGGCUAACUCCGUGCCAGCAGCCGCGGUAAU